CCAUUUUUUUCACAAUGCUAUACAGCUCUGCAUUUAAAUCUUCAAAAUUUGUCUUACAUCAUGAAAAUUUUCUCAGUAUAAAACAUAAAACCAGAAGCAUGGUUUUACUGGCCUUGCCUCAAUUUCUGAUGCUGCCUCCUGUUCCUGGCAGCUGCCCGCAGGGAGGGUUCACAGGGACCUAAGUAGGGCUAAGCACGAGCCACCUUAAUGCGACCUUGGAUCUGAGA